rnacentral:rRNA from 1 species
UACGGGGGGGCAAGCGUUGUUCGGAAUUACUGGGCGUAAAGGGCUCGUAGGCGGCCAACUAAGUCAGACGUGAAAUCCCCUCGGCUUAACCGGGGAACUGCGUCUGAUACUGGAUGGCUUGAGUUUGGGAGAGGGAUGCGGAAUUCCAGGUGUAGCGGUGAAAUGCGUAGAUAUCUGGAGGAAUACCGGUGGCGAAGGCGGCGUUCUGGACUGCAACUGACACUGAUGAACGAAAGCCAGGGAGCAAACGGG